rnacentral:lncRNA from 1 species
GAUCUGAAGCGGUGUUCUCGGAUUCGACGGCGACGUGGUGCUGCGUGGUGCACGGAGGCUGGUGAGGAUCUGGUGGUUCUGGUGGUUCUACAGAUAGAAGUUGUUUUCUGGUUAAAGUGAUCUAAAAUCGAUUCAAGUUGUUAUCUAGACUUGCAGUUAGAAAAAGAAACCUUCGUGCUGCCAACAUUUGGCAGCACAGCUAUUGUUCUGGUCAUGGAUGCAGAUGUCUGCUUUGUUUUUAGCCUUUGAUUUGGUGUGAGCCUUGUUUUGGAUGCUAUGGUUGUCAUUUAUUUGAUGAAAUUUUCUGUGUAGUUGCAUCCAAGAGCGAAUACUAUACUGAAGAUGAUUUUCUGGACGGCCUUUCUUGUUGUCAUGGGCUUGGUGAGUUGCUGUUUAGAAGCUCUGGAACCAGAGUGCUGGAGCCUCACUCGUUCCUUUGGGGUGCAUCCUGUGGAACCAGAGUGCUGGAGCUCGUGAAGAAACAUAAUUCUCCCGGCCUUCUAUGGAAGAGAAUAAAGCUCACUUCCACCCGUAAAGCCAAUGCUAAGAAACGCCUUCGUCGCGUUUGGCAGAAUGAAGCUGUUUUGCGGGCAUAUGCUGAGACACCUCCCCAGGAAGUAUCACGGGCUGAAGGUAGUGGAAAUAUUGCCAAGGAUAACCAAAGCCCCCAAGGUUAGACGAAAUGAGUAAGGGCUCUAAGCAAGCAUGACAAGGGGACUAGAAAAAGUAAUGCGGCAAUAUAUAAUGUUCGUUUUGCCAUCUUUGUGCCUCAACUUCAUAACUAAUGUUUUGUUGAUGGAGCAUCCCGGCGCCGCUGGCGAGAAGCAGAAGACACAACCGAUUAAGUUAGCAAUCUGGCACUGUUUGGUGACGCAAGAGGAUGGGGCGGUAGGAGUCGGCGGCGGAGAAGUAGUCGAGGGAGUUGAACCAUAGGAAAUUGUCCGCCGAGAUCGAUCUCCACGUUCAGUGUGGUGGCGUUGGAGCCUAUUUGGAUAGUCGUGUAGUAUUGGUUGGUUGUGCCAUCUUUUACUGAUUGGGAAAAUUGAAGGCUUUAGGGGAUGUUAGAGCAUUUGAAAACAGGAUGAAAGGAGCAACGAGGAAAUUAUCAAGAUCGGAACACUAGGGGAAGCCAUUAUGGUUGUAUUGUGAGUGAAGCUCUUGGAAUGGAUGCAUGUUUAUGUAUUCAGUUUUGGAAUAGGAUGCCAGCUAAUCAGCAUUAUAUUUCAAAUCAUAUUUUCAGGUUGGUCCCCAGCUGAAUCCAUUGUUUAUUUCUCCACUUACGUAUAUUUAAGUAAUNCGAAACUAACAUUCGUCAAGAUUCUUUCCUUGGCAGCCCGAGAAAAUCUCUUCAACAAAUAUUGUUUAGGAAUGUUUUUCACAUUCAUAAGAUAAUAUAUCUUGAAAAUGUGAGAACACAAAUAUCCCGCAGUGUCAAAUAUGCGACAAGUGCACGUAGAAGGAUAAUUUUCCUUGUUGAACUGAAUAUGUCUCCGCUUCCCACCAACACAACCCGAGGACAAAAUGAAUUCAAGGUCAUCCGAAUCAUACUUUGAUGGACCUUUGAUUAUAUCCACAUUCAAAGAAUGAUUGGCCUCAUGCUCAAAUUUACGAAAAACACUUCUCGUCAAGACUUUAGCUGCAUUCUUCAUUAGUUCAUUGUGAUCCACAUAUAGCCCAGACAUUCCUAUACAUAGUGCAUGCUCUUCACUUUCUUUACGCCUCCAUUCAAUUUGAAUUUCAUCAAACUUAAACACAAAAUCAUGCAAGGAUGUGCUCGCAUGUAAUACCCCGCUCAUUUCUAUUUAGUUUAUAAUUUAUUUUAGGGUUUUUUGCAAAUAAAAUCACGAACAAUUUUAAAUUUGCAAUUUUAACGUGACUUUUGAAGUGUGGCGAAUUAAAUCAUAACCUUUUCAAUUUUUACAAUUUCGUCCCCUCAAUUUUUUCCGACCACCGAAGUGAUGAGUUGGAGCUUAUGUGGAUUAUUUUUUUCCACGUAAUUAAUUUCUAACUAAGAUUAAAUUGCUGACUAAGAUUAAAACAAAAUCAAAACCUAAUUCUUUUAUUUUACUUCUUUUUCGUCUUUUAUAAAAAUAUAUUUGAUGUGUAUCUUAAGUUAAACAUUAUGACAAGAUCUUAAAUUUGAUUUAAAAUUCAUUAAAUAUGAAUUUGAAAUAAAUAAUUUAUUAUAAUUUAAAAUUUUAAAGUGAUUGUUUUUCUCCCUCCUAUCUCUUUUACAAUAUUCUUUAUUUUUUUUCUCUUUCUCCUUAUUUUGUUAUUAUAUUAUUUCUAUUUGUAUCUCUUUCUCCUACAAAAUUUAUAUAUCUUCUCUUCUCUUUUGAUUAAAAAAACAUAAUACUAUAUUUAGAGUUAAUAUAUAAAACUAUCCACUUUCAUAUUGUAAAGAUAAAAAUUGUCCAUUAAGAUAAAAAUAAUAAAAACUGUCCACUUUUUGAUUGAAAAGACAGAAAUACCCCUUACUUUAAAAUUUAAAAAAAUGGCCACUCAUUUCUCUCUUUCUCUCAUCUCUCUCUUCACCUUCACGAAUCACGUCUCUCUCUCUCUCUCCCUCUUCCUCUCCUUCUCGUCCUCACCGCCGCUCCACAGUUGCCGCCCACCACCACCGCUACACUGCUGUUCUGAGACGGAGGGAGCCGCGCACGCGGCAGCAUUGCUCUGCCACUACUCACUCGCCCCACCCCUGAAUUCCAAUUCGCCUCGCCGGAGUUGUUGCAGCGGCUGGGCAGAUCUGGCGCGGCCGUGAGCUGCCCACUGAACGGCAGAUCUGGUCCGGGCAAUAGAGGAUGGGGUCGGACGGCGGUACGUGGCGCGGAGGCUGGUGAGGAUCUGGUGGUUCUGGCGGCGGAGCUAGGGGGUUUUGCUGCGGAAACCCUAGAUCUGAAGCGGUGUUCUCGGAUUCGACGGCGACGUGGUGCUGCGUUGUGCACGGAGGCUGGUGAGGAUCUGGUGGUUCUGGUGGUUCUACAGAUAGAAGUUGUUUUCUGGUUAAAGUGAUCUAAAAUCGAUUCAAGUUGUUAUCUAGACUUGCAGUUAGAAAAAGAAACCUUCGUGCUGCCAACAUUUGGCAGCACAGCUAUUGUUCUGGUCAUGGAUGCAGAUGUCUGCUUUGUUUUUAGCCUUUGAUUUGGUGUGAGCCUUGUUUUGGAUGCUAUGGUUGUCAUUUAUUUGAUGAAAUUUUCUGUGUAGUUGCAUCCAAGAGCGAAUACUAUACUGAAGAUGAUUUUC